rnacentral:lncRNA from 1 species
GGAGGUGACUCUCUCAGGAGGUUGAAUAGGGUUAGAAAGACGGCAUGACUAUAUCUCUAAUGUAGACCUAAAGUGCUUCCUAGAGCUAGGGACCAGGAUUCUAAAUGAGACCUGAGGGAAUGGAGCUGUUGUUGACAAGAGCUGUUAGACAAACAGGACAUGGAGGAGGAGUGGUCAUGCAUACCUCAAUGGGACAAAGUAUCUCCUCUGAGACUUCAGAAAAUCCUUUUCUUCUGGAGCCACUCUGUUCUGGAUUACCCUGAGAUUUUAAUGAGAUAAAGUCUAGAGAUGUAUAUAACUUUUCUGCAUCAUUUUGGAAUUUUAAUGAGAUGAAACGAGACCCAGAGACACCUGUUCUAGACCACUUUGGGAUCUUAAUGAGAGUGUGUGUGUUGGUAGGUGUCAUCAGUGGAGGGCUGGUGGUUGGAAGUUAGAGGAGUAGCUGUUUAUGAAUUCUAGACCUGGACAGUCUUUGUCAUUAAGUUGAUAUGUGACCCCAUGGAUGCAAACAGGUUGAAGACAAGAGCUCUCUUUAAUGGAACCUGAACAGUGCCUAACUCCUGUAGAUAUUCACUGAAUGUUAAAUAACAACAGUGAUCAUGUAAUAAUGAUGCCCAAUUCACUUGGGAGAGAAUACCAAAUAGCUUGGAAUUUUCCUGUUACUGCCAGCAUGGCCUGAGAGCAUCCUGAGAGAGGUCAAAAGUCCGUCUGACUCACCUGUGCUGAGUGACUUGAAUGCCAUCUAAUCUAACUUCAAGGUGACUGGAUAGAUUGUACAUGUGGUAAUAAAAUGCUAAUCGUAGUGUCAUAAUUUUAGAGAUUCAAGAAGAAAUUAUUAGAAACACAAAUUAAGAGCUUUAAUAUGCUCAUAUGUACCUGUGCAUAACUUUUUUUAAAGCACCUAGAAACUGCAAGUCAAUAAACAUUGUUUUCCCAUGCUGCCCUAUACUCAUCCAACCCAGCGAUGAUGAAAUGCAUACUGACAAGAGCAAUAAGAAAAAUAAUAACAUUAUCACAGGAUCAAUGUCUAUUGCUAGCUUCAUAAAGGACUUGGCUUCCCAUUGAUGUUUAAUUUUUGUAAAUGCCUCUGGAAAUUUAAGUAGCAGUAGGAAAACAUAAUGUUCAAUUUCUCCUAACAUAACCUCUUAAACUUUGGACGUGUGCAGUUUUCAGUCUGGGACAAAUUUAGGAGAACAAAUCUCUUUGAAACAGACUGGCAGAUUUAUUUUAAAUAAGCUUGCUUUAAGGCUACAGGUCUAGGAGACAGAAUCAUAGAAGAUGAUUGGAACAACGGGAGCUGAAAAAUCUUGGAAGCCUGCUUUUUCUGUGACUCGUUUUGGUGUAUACAUCAGCAUAAAGGGGAGAGUCUCCUCUAUCCAUGUCAUGGCUGAUGGUAGCAUCUGUGCCAAAUUUUAAGCACUAGGGGACAAGUUGGGAGGCUCCGAAAAGCUCACCUGUCUCAGAACACCACGAUAUCCUAGCAUUUUUGUUAUUCCUCCUUGCUCUACCUCAACUGCUCUGGCAUUGACUCAAAUUCCUGGAACUGCAUAAUCAGCAUCUGGACGAAUAAUAAAUGAACUCCUGCUAGCUCUACCAUAGGAGAAGCAUUAGAGUACUUUGAAGUCCUAGAACCUUCAUCUUCUUAGACUUAAGAGUGGUAUUUCUGAAACUUGAGCUUGCAUCAGACUCACCUAAGGCAUCAUGUUAAAACACUGAUUGCUGAACUCUACCCUGAUAGUUUUUGGUUCUGUAGUUCUAAGGCAGAGCUCAUUAAUUUGAGUUUCUAACCAGUUCCCAUAUGAUGCUGAUGCAACUUGUCCUGCAGACCAUACAUUGAGGACCGCUAGCCUAGAGUUCCCCUUUUUUGACCCAGAUGCUGGACUGUUGUAAGCCAACAGUUAGGUCUUUCUGAAAUCCAUGGGCUCAAGCAGGGGCAGAAAAUAUCCAGAUGCCAAAAGGAAGCUUAUUAUUUUAUAGGGACCUCUGCAGAGUGAGCGCCACACUUUGGCUGAAGAGUACAGUUUGUUCCUCACCAUGACCUUGGGGUCCCGUCCCAACUAAUCCAGAGCCAUGUGGGUUUGCAGAGACAGGCAUUCCUCCCAUAUUCUGGCCUCUGACCUGAAAUCUUCUAACUUGAGAAGAGAACAGUCACCUUCCUGGGAAUCUGAAAUAGAAAGGCAAAUUUGUGAAGGCCUUUCUGACAUCUGAAUGGCUGGAUUUGCAUUUGCUGUAGUGAUAACUCAGUGCCAUCCAGACCUGACAGUGAUGAACGAUGCUGGAUUCUGCUCAAAUUCCAUCAAAGCCUGCAGGGUGAAGACUCUGGUCCCUGAACCCAGUGUCCUCUGGCCCUUCCUGUCAAAGCAUUGGAGUGACAGGGAGACAUUUGAGAGGCAGUGAGGAGGAAGGACAGAGGCAUCAGGGUGGGUGUGGCAGCUUCCAUAUUUAGCAGAGAGAAGCAGAGAUGAGGGUAAGAUUAUGAGUGGGAGAGGAGGGAAGGUUAGAGAACAAUGGAAAAAUUUUCUUCUUCAGUGUAAGAAUUCUGGACCCUUAUUUGAAGUCUCUCCUGCUUUGUUGGGCAAAAGUAAUGAGAAACUCCACUUGGCUUCAGAAUGCAGUGUCAACUCCACAUGAAUCAAAGCAAUAAAAAAGAAUCAACUCAGAGCAGGCUGAGCUAUGUGAGGUGAGGACAGUCUGUUCUGAAGGUCUACACAUUAAUGCUUCCUAUUGGGAAUUCAAAUCGGCAAUUUGUUCUUCUUCUGGUUGUUUGAAUCUUCAAAAUAGAGGGAAGACACCUGGAUGAAACAUUUUCACAGACUCUGCAAUUCCCUUAAGAGGAUCCCAGAGCCCUUAAGCUUCUCUUAGAUUCCUCUGAUUUUUUUCAGCCCAAGGACUGUUACCACAUGUCUUCCAUCUUGCCCACAAUUUUAGCAGAUCAUCAGGAUACUUGCCAACAAGGUCACAGUGGACUCCAUGGAGCAACUGCCCUCAGGAGGCAACAGGUCACAGUGUUUGGACACCGCAUGAACAUGCCAAUUUCCUGUGUUGUAAUAUUUUUAUGCACUUUAAGAAGACCACCAGAAACAGCAGAGUGAGUGAAUGACUGAGGCGCAUAUUGGACAAAAAUCACUUAUCCAAGACCACGUUACUACAACCCCAGGGCACAGAAGCUAAGUCUUCCUAUUGUACUGAACUCAGUUGACUGGAAUUUGUUCAGGAAAGCAUGAAGUCAAAUGGAAGCUAGUCCGUGACUGGAUUCAUCUUUUGGUAAAAAACGAAGAGGAGACCCCAUAUCCUGGAGGUUCUUGCUUAACCCUGUCCCUAAUAAGACCUAACUUUAUGAGUCUUCUCCUUAGAGGCAGUCCUAGGGUAAGAGUGAUUAUUCCUGUGAGCCUUGUAGGUACUUUCGAAUCAAGGAAAUUAGUAGUUGAUUGCUAAUUAAUUCAGUAUUUAAUGAAUUUAAGUACCUAGGCAAUGAGGCCACAAUAGCAAAUAAGACACAGACCUGUUUUCAAAAAGUAGCCUGUAAAUAAGAUAUUUUUUUCUGCCAUGGUGGCAAAGGCAUGACUAUGGUGAUGAACAUUCAUAGGCUCACCUUCUAGCUCUGUUGUAUGUUAACUGUGUGAACUUGGGUCAAGUUAUGAAAACUCUAAGAACUCUCAAAACUCCUGAUCUGUUUUAACAUGAAAGUAAAGAUAUCUAAUUGAAUUGUUGUGAAACUUAAAUGUAAUGUGACAUCCAAAGAAUGUAGCCCAAAGUUGGAUUUCAGUAAGUGAUAAAUAGAAGUAUUUAAACAUGGGUAUGGUAUGUUCUGUAACAGAAGAAUGUCUAUGUGCUGGGGAUACCUAGAGACAGUGAAAAUUCUGUCUGGCCUGCGAAUUAU